AGGCCCUCUGAUCCUAGAGAUAGGACGUCCCCUUCGGGGGCAGAGUGACAGGUGGUGCAUGGUUGUCGUCAGCUCGUGUCGUGAGAUGUUGGGUUAAGUCCCGCAACGAGCGCAACCCUUGAUCUUAGUUGCCAGCAUUCAGUUGGGCACUCUAAGGUGACUGCCGGUGACAAACCGGAGGAAGGUGGGGAUGACGUCAAAUCAUCAUGCCCCUUAUGACCUGGGCUACACACGUGCUACAAUGGACAGAACAAAGGGCAGCGAAACCGCGAGGUUAAGCCAAUCCCACAAAUCUGUUCUCAGUUCGGAUCGCAGUCUGCAACUCGACUGCGUGAAGCUGGAAUCGCUAGUAAUCGCGGAUCAGCAUGCCGCGGUGAAUACGUUCCCGGGCCUUGUACACACCGCCCGUCACACCACGAGAGUUUGUAACACCCGAAGUCGGUGAGGUAACCUUUUAGGAGCCAGCCGCCGAAGGUGGGACAGAUGAUUGGGGUGAAGUCGUAACAAGGUAGCCGUAUUGUAGGCCAAUUAUGGC
rnacentral:rRNA from 1 species